rnacentral:rRNA from 1 species
AUGCUUAGAUACGACUUGGAAGACCAACUCUCGGUCAUCUACACGGACGAGGAGGCAUUCUGGCGCCUCCGAGGUAUGCAGAAUUGGGUCCUCAAGGGGGACGCUAAUACAGCCUACUUCCAGGCAAUCGUGAAUGGCCGCCGCCGCCGCAACACCAUCCCCCUGCUCUGGGAUGGUGAUACCCUGCUUCAACAGCCGGAGGCCAUCCGGGCCCAUGUUGAUGGCUUCUACAGAGACCUAUUCUUUGCCUCCCCUCGGGGAGGAUUAGCGCUUGCCCAUGAUAUUUGGCCGCCCCGAUACUGUGUUUCAGAGGAGGAUAACAUUGCUCUUACGGCACCAUUCUCUGAAGCUGAAGUAUGGGCGGCCAUUAAGGGCAUGAACUCAUCCUCGGCCCCUGGCCCCGAUGGCCUUCCAGUAAAGUUCUUUCAAACUUUCUGGGAAUCCAUUAAGCCUGAGGUCAUGGCCCUAUUUGAAGAAUUCUAUGUUGGGGCCAUUGAUCUCACCCGUCUCAACUUUGGAAUAAUCACGCUCAUUCCCAAAGUUACGGGUGCCUCGGACAUCCGCCAAUUCCGCCCAAUCACGGUGAUCAAUGUCAUCUUUCACAUCCUCGCGAAGGGGUACGCUAAUAGGGUGGCCCCAAUUGCGGACCGAAUCAUCCACCCAGAUCAGUCGGCUUUCAUCCAGGGCCGGUUUAUCCUGGACGGAGUCCUAGUGUUUCACGAAGCCUUACACGAGGUGCACUCCAAGCACCUCAAAGGCAGUCUUCCUGAAACUAGAUUUCCACAAGGCCUACGACACGGUUAG